UCAAGAAAAACUCCCUCCCUCUCUCUCUCUCUCUCUCUCUCUCUCUCUCUCUCUCUCUCUCUCUCUGAUCGAGGAUCUCCAAUAUGUCUUCUAGCAAAAAGAACAAGUUUCUGAAAACCCUAGUCACAUCCAGUAUUCGAGGCUGUGGUUGUGGAAGACCGAAGCUCUCAGACGUUUUUGAACCAACCCCAAAACCCAAAAUCCCCAUUUGCAAAACCACCCCAAAUCAACAACCCCGUUCCUCUUCAAGUUCUUGUGACAUAAGAAAUGGAAGUUUCACAGUCGACGACGAUGACGAUGACGAUGACGAGGAUCAGUGCACGUCCACCACCAUCUCUUUCAACAACGACUCAGCAUUAUCUUCAUCCCAACCUUCAGAUUCAGUAGAGACUCAGGGUGUAAAGAAGUCAAAGCCUCCGAACCCACCGCUAACCAAAAUCAACAACAGCAUUGCCGUUGUGAAAGAUUCCGACGACCCUUAUCAGGAUUUCCGGCAGUCCAUGCUUCAAAUGAUCAUAGAGAAGGAGAUUUAUUCCAAGGAGGAGCUCCAGGAGCUGCUGAGCUGCUUCCUCGAACUCAAUUCCAGACGUCACCGUGAUGUUAUCAUUGAAGCUUUCACAGAAAUAUGGAAUGGUGAUCUGGUUGAUAUUGCAGGGAAACGAAUCGUACGUGUGAAUCCCAGAUGUGGAACGUGUGAAGAUCAUAGCCAUGUGAGGCAUUGAAUUAAUUGGCAAGUAGGGAAUGAAGAAAGAAGUAGUAGUAGUGCAUGGGGAGGUUGGGAAAUAUUCAAUUUUGAUGAGCCAUUAAUGGAUAGGUUUGGUCACAUGGAGGGUGAUGAUAAGCAAUUUAGGUUUUGCGGUGGAGAAAGAGUGCAUUAAAUCGGGAAGAUCUAUCUUUUGAAGAGGCAAAGGGCAAAAACUUCUGAGUUCUAAAUUUUUAUCAUUUUUUUUUUUUUACGGUUUUAGAGUUUCAAUUUACCAUUGUGCUACUGCUACAUGUG